AUUGAACGCUGGCGGCAGGCCUAACACAUGCAAGUCGAGCGACCGGCGGACGGGUGAGUAAUGUAUGGGGACUGCCCGAUAGAGGGGGAAAACACCUGGAAACGGUGGCAAAUACCGCAAACUGCGGGAGAACCCAUAUGGGAUUAGCUAGUAGGUAAGGUAAUGGCUUACCUAGGCGACGAUCCCUAGCUGGUCUGAGAGGAUGAUCAGCCACACUGGGACUGAGACACGGCCCAGACUCCUACGGAGGCAGCAGUGGGGAAUAUUGCACAAUGGGCGCAAGCCUGAUGCAGCCAUGCCGCGUGUAUGAAGAAGGCCCUAGGGUUGUAAAGUACUUUCAGUCGGGAGGCGUUACCGACAGAAGAAGCACCGGCUAACUCCGUGCCAGCAGCCGCGGUAAUUC
rnacentral:rRNA from 1 species